rnacentral:rRNA from 1 species
UGAGUAACACGUGGGCAAUCUGCCCUGCACUUCGGGAUAAGCCUGGGAAACUGGGUCUAAUACCGGAUAGGACCUUUAGACGCAUGUCUUUUGGUGGAAAGCUUUUGCGGUGUGGGAUGGGCCCGCGGCCUAUCAGCUUGUUGGUGGGGUGAUGGCCUACCAAGGCGACGACGGGUAGCCGGCCUGAGAGGGUGUCCGGCCACACUGGGACUGAGAUACGGCCCAGACUCCUACGGGAGGCAGCAGUGGGGAAUAUUGCACAAUGGGCGCAAGCCUGAUGCAGCGACGCCGCGUGGGGGAUGACGGCCUUCGGGUUGUAAACCUCUUUCACCAUCGACGAAGGUUCGGGUUUUCUCGGAUUGACGGUAGGUGGAGAAGAAGCACCGGCCAACUACGUGCCAGCAGCCGCGGUAAUACGUAGGGUGCGAGCGUUGUCCGGAAUUACUGGGCGUAAAGAGCUCGUAGGUGGUUUGUCGCGUUGUUCGUGAAAUCUCACGGCUUAACUGUGAGCGUGCGGGCGAUACGGGCAGACUAGAGUACUGCAGGGGAGACUGGAAUUCCUGGUGUAGCGGUGGAAUGCGCAGAUAUCAGGAGGAACACCGGUGGCGAAGGCGGGUCUCUGGGCAGUAACUGACGCUGAGGAGCGAAAGCGUGGGGAGCGAACAGGAUUAGAUACCCUGGUAGUCCACGCCGUAAACGGUGGGUACUAGGUGUGGGUUUCCUUCCUUGGGAUCCGUGCCGUAGCUAACGCAUUAAGUACCCCGCCUGGGGAGUACGGCCGCAAGGCUAAAACUCAAAGGAAUUGACGGGGGCCCGCACAA